AAAGAACGUGCACCUGGAUGAUGACCAACUCCAUGCCAAUAAUCUUACGUAAGGGGGCAAUGAAUAAAAACAUGCAUAUCAUCUUCCACCGCAUUACAAACUACACAACCCAGCUCAAUAUUAAUUCCCUUAUCUCUAAAGUUAGACUUUAUAAGAAGGAUACUUCUUAACAUUCCCCUUAGGAAAUUUUUAACCUUAAGAG
rnacentral:misc_RNA from 1 species